UACGGAGGGUGCAAGCGUUAUCCGGAUUUACUGGGUUUAAAGGGUGCGUAGGUGGGUCUGUAAGUCAGUGGUGAAAUCUCCGAGCUUAACUCGGAAACUGCCAUUGAUACUAUAGAUCUUGAAUUAUCUGGAGGUAAGCGGAAUAUGUCAUGUAGCGGUGAAAUGCUUAGAUAUGACAUAGAACACCAAUUGCGAAGGCAGCUUACUACGCAUAUAUUGACGCUGAGGCACGAAAGCGUGGGGAUCAAACAGG
rnacentral:rRNA from 1 species